CCCGGUAAACGGCGGCCGUAACUAUAACGGUCCUAAGGUAGCGAAAUUCCUUGUCGGGCAAGUUCCGACCUGCACGAAUGGUGUAACCAUGGCCACGCUGUCUCCACCCGGGACCCAGUGAAACCGAAAUCGCUGUGAAGAUGCAGUGUACCCGCGGCUAGACGGAAAGACCCCGUGAACCUUUACUGCAGCUUGACACUGAACCUUGAACCUGUUUGUGCAGGAUAGGCGGGAGACUUUGAAGUAGAGACGCCAGUCUUUAUGGAGUCGACCUUGAAAUACCGCCCUGAUAUGUUUGAGGUUCUAACUUGAAGGUAACAGCCUUAAGGACAGUGUCUGGUGGGAAGUUUGACUGGGGCGGUCUCCUCCCAAAGAGUAACGGAGGAGCACGAAGGUCGGCUGAUCACGGUCGGAAACCGUGAGGUCAGUGCAAUGGCAAAAGCCGGCUUGACUGCGAGAGCAACAACUCGAGCAGGUGCGAAAGCAGGUCAUAGUGAUCCGGUGGUUCCAUAUGGACGGGCCAUCGCUCAACGGAUAAAAGGUACUCUGGGGAUAACAGGCUGAUACCGCCCAAGAGUUCAUAUCGACGGCGGUGUUUGGCACCUCGAUGUCGGCUCAUCACAUCCUGGGGCUGAAGUUGGUCCCAAGGGUAUGGCUGUUCGCCAUUUAAAGUGGUACGCGAGCUGGGUUCAAAACGUCGUGAGACAGUUUGGUCCCUAUCUACCGCGGGCGUUGGAUGAUUGAAGGGGAUUGCUCCUAGUACGAGAGGACCGGAGUGAACGAGCCUCUGGUUUACGGGUUGUCAUGCCAAUGGCACGGCCCGGCAGCCAAGCCCGGAACUGAUAACCGCUGAAAGCAUCUAAGCGGGAAGCAGGCCCUAAGAUGAGUCAUCCCUGACUUUAAGUCAAUAAAGACCGUUGAAGACUACGACGUUGAUAGGCUGGAUGUGGAAGCACCGUGAGGUGUGUAGCUUGCCAGUACUAAUUGUCUGAACGUCUUGACCAU
rnacentral:rRNA from 1 species